UACGGAGGGAGCUAGCGUUGUUCGGAAUUACUGGGCGUAAAGCGCACGUAGGCGGACUGGAAAGUUGGGGGUGAAAGCCCAGGGCUCAACCCUGGAACUGCCUUCAAAACUCCCAGUCUUGAGGUCGAGAGAGGUGAGUGGAAUUCCGAGUGUAGAGGUGAAAUUCGUAGAUAUUGGGAAGAACACCAGUGGCGAAGGCGGCUCACUGGUCCGAUACUGACGCUGAGGUGCGAAAGCGUGGGGAGCAAACAGG
rnacentral:rRNA from 1 species